UACGUAGGGUGCAAGCGUUAAUCGGAAUUACUGGGCGUAAAGCGUGCGCAGGCGGUGAUGUAAGACAGAUGUGAAAUCCCCGGGCUCAACCUGGGACCUGCAUUUGUGACUGCAUCGCUAGAGUACGGUAGAGGGGGAUGGAAUUCCGCGUGUAGCAGUGAAAUGCGUAGAUAUGCGGAGGAACGCCGAUGGCGAAGGCAAUCCCCUGGACCUGUACUGACGCUCAUGCACGAAAGCGUGGGGAGCAAACAGG
rnacentral:rRNA from 1 species